rnacentral:lncRNA from 1 species
CUCGUCCAUUCUCGAACGAAGAAACCCUAGAUGUUGACUUCUAAUCUUCUUCCCUCUCUUCCACAGAUUUGCAAAUUAGUCAUGUCUCUAUCUAAGAAAUUCGAAUUUUCAGAAUACCCUUUUGCUCUUCUUCUGCAUUGUUGGUUGACGAUCUUCUUUUUGUAUUGUUAGCCGUUCAAUUUUCUCUAUUCUGUUUGUUCAAACUUGUGUGAAUGCAAAAUGAAUAUAUUUACCACUCAAAACCCAGUACUUUUAGUUUUAAUUUUUAAAUUAUCAAAAAUUAAUUUUUGCAUGUGUGUGCAUAAUUAUUAGUAGGGAUUUGAAUGGAUUAUUUUCGGAGGUUGAAUUGAAAUCUAUUGGAUGAAGAAGAAGUCGGACUGUUGAGGUGUGUGAGCUUAGGUGCCAAAAUUGAGUGAAGGGCUUUCUUCUUUUGGUAGAAUGCUGCUGAACAAAUCACAUUCUCCUUCUUCACGGCAGAAUCCAGUUAAUACUUAUUAUUAAGAGCUUUCGAACGUUUCAUAAUUAUUUUUGAUAAAUCUUUUUCUGUGCUUUUUUCAGGAAGUAAAAAGUCCUCCAACCUCUACCGAUGGUAUGACUUUUCUUCGUGUUAUGUAACUUAUGUUUGAGAAUUUGCUGAUGUGAAAAUUUAUCAUGUUUCGAAUAAUGAAUUAACUAUGAUUAUACCACUGAAGAUGAUGAAGACAGCGACGAAGAGCGAUAGAUGAGGAGCUCAAACGCGACUGUUUGCAAACGAGUUUGGCAGAAACUCACACAAUCGAAGUAACCCAUUAUAGAAAGAAUAUUUUUCUUUUGUUUGGACCUUGUUUCUAAUUUGGGUUUUAUAAAUCUUUUUUGAAUGUGGGUCUGAAAUUAUUAUUUAUUUUUUUAAUCUUUUGUCAGAUUUUUUAUUUGUCUUCAUUUGGAGUUUGUCCAUGUUUUGGAGGGAGUUGUGCAGGUCUGAUUGUGUGUGGAAAGCUCUAUGCAAAGAUGGUUGUUAUGCACGUGAUUUUGAUAAAGAUUCUUCAGCUUUCCAAGAUCAAAAUUUCGAGCUUGACCAGUGAAUGAAUUCCAAUUUAAAGGUCUUUUAUCUAUUUCUAUAAUUUGGGUUUUGUAUUAUGUUUGAGCACUUUUACUUUCUUUAUUUAGUAUAUAUCUUGUUCUUU